AUGACGAAGCUCUACAAAAUCCACUCCCAUGCCCACAUCCAAGCCCUGCAGGCCCGCGCCAAUGAGCUGGGCCACUCCAAUAAGUCCAUGCUUGUGAAUCUUGUCUCUCUGGAGUCGGUGCGCAUAGCGCGCGAGUCGUAUGCACUCCUCCGCCCGCUGAUCAAGGAGUCGUGGAUCUGGGCAUGCCCGGAGCUGGAAAUCCUCUUGGUUGUGGCAGGCUUGUCGCUGGAAAUCCAAAAGCUUGAGCAUGAUGUGUUACCCCAGCUCAUGGUUCAGGAGGCCAAGCUGGAACGGGGCGCCCUGGAAGCCCUCCUACUCAUGAAGAACUCAGCAAUUACGCUCUUAGAUCUGAGGAAGUGCUUUAUCUUAGCCUUGGGCGUAUUGCUUGCCGAUGAGGAUCUGGUCUCAGCCCGAGUCAAAAAGCUGAGCAUAAUGCUAAAGGAUACUGCUGAUGAUGUACUCAAUGUGCAUCGUUGGUUACGACUCCAGCUCGCGCGCCCUCCGUGGAUCAGGCAUCAACGGUCGCAGUUCUGA
rnacentral:rRNA from 1 species